GGUGGUUAGGUUUAAGCCAACACCGGCGCCGGCGACGAACGCCGGCGCGGCGAAUCUCAAUGAACGGAGAGGUGAAGACGAGCGCACGCUUAACUUUCAGUUUGACUUCUGUUGACUUGGACAAGUCAAUAGAAGACUGAUCUGGGCUCAUUUUCCUUAAGGCCCAUGGAAUUACUGGCCAUACACCCUAAAUUACUAAUGCACCUCCCCAAUGACAAUGAAAAAUGAACAUUAGGCUUCAAGAGGCCCAUUAAUGUUGUUACGAAUUCACCACGCAAUUUCUGUUGCACCUCCCUGUUGUGGGGAGCUUGGACACGGUUUUGGCUCAGAAGGCCCAUUUCCUAUUUCACUAAUGCACCCCAUUUUUUUGAAUUGGCUGGCUGUGCAAAAAAACCAUAUGUGGGCUCAUUUCGUAGCCCAAUGACUUGAACUCAGUUUACACCCCCUAGUUUACACCUCCCAUUUAAUUUCAUUCUUUUAUUUUUCUUGGUUGCUUUUAUAAUUUGUAAUUAGAGUAAUUAGGUCCACAUUAGAUUAAUUAGGUUGAUAAUUGGUAAUUAGGAAUUAAAUCUUGAUUUUUAGGAUACCCAUUUAAUUUCAUUCUUUUAUUUUUCUUGGUUGCUUUUAUAAUUUGUAAUUAGAGUAAUUAGGUCCACAUUAGAUUAAUUAGGUUGAUAAUUGGUAAUUAGGAAUUAAAUCUUGAUUUUUAGGAUAUUAGAAUUUUCAUUAGAAAUAAUUAGGACUUUUAAUUAGAAUUUUAAUUAGGUUUUAGUUAGAAUUUUCUAAUUAGGGACAAAUAGGCUUGAUUAAAUUUAGGAUAUUGACAUUUCCCAACAUUAGGGUAAAGUUCAACUUUAGGAUAGAAUCCCUUUUAGACCAUAGAAUUAGACAUAUUUUAGAAAAUGACCAUUUUUCCCUUAUGGGCUUAUUUUUGGUAUUUUGUGUUGAAAAUUGCAUGUUCCCCUUAGGAUUAGAAUUCAAUCAUUGUAGGACUUAACAUAGAAUUUUAAUCAUGAUUUUAAUCAAUAUUUUGACAUGCUCCCUUAGGAUUUCUAAUAUAACUUAGAAUAUUCAAUCAAUUUCUAAUGCAUGAUCCCUUAGGUUAAUUUCUAACAAUUACUAACUUCAAUUAGAUCCAAACUUAGUUCCCCACAAAACUAAAACCAAACCCCCGAUUAAAUUGCUCAAAAGCAAUUUUGAUUAAUUAAAUCCUUUGAACUUGUAUAACCCCCCAUUCUAAUUGAGUGACCAAAAGACCCUUGGUCACUUAGUAGGACUUUUCUUUCAAGCUGUGGAGCUUAAGGCCUUAAGACAAGAUCUUCAAUCAAGACAUCCUCAGUCAUACCAAGCAGCGGAUUAUUCAAGCGCAUCAAAGGUGGAAAACUUCAACACUUGUUAAAUCAAAGUUAGAAGAGUGUGACACGAGCCUUAAGCAAUAGAGAAAGAGUGGGACUGGAGUAUUCCUACCCCCAUUUUGAGUAUCUUUGGGUAUGGGACGUAUGACCCAGCGCUCAUCAUAUUCACCUCUAUUCAUAGACUUUAGCACGAUUCUAACUAUACGAUUAACAAGUUUAUCUUCACAAGGAAAAAUACAACAAAAGCAAGGACUACAUCAAUAACUUAUCAAUCAUGAAUCAAGUUGUACGAUACGAGCCUUAAGUAAUGGAGAAGGAGUAGGACUGGAGUAUUCCUACCCCUAUUCUGAGUAUCUUUGGGUAUGGGAUGUAUGACCCAGCGCUCAUCGUAUUCACCUCCAUUCAUAGACUUUAGUGCAAUUUGAAUCUAACGAUUGAUAAAGUCUUCAUCUUCCAUGCAAGAAACAACUACAAAGAUUCAUCUCUCUCUACUUAAAGUUUAAGACAAGGAUUACAUGCCACGAACCUUAAGUGGUAAAGAAGGAAUGAGACUGGAGCUUUCCUACACUCAUUCUGGAUAUCUUUGGGUGCGAGAUGUUUGGCUCGUUGCUUAUCGUAUCUGCCUUUACCCAUAGACUUUACUGUGAUUCUCAUCCAGUAGCUAUCAAGUCUAUCCAUUCUUAAUUCUAUUCAAUUCUCAAUCAUUCCAUUCAAAUCAAUUCAAUUUCAACCAUUCCAUUUCCUCUUGCCUCCAAUCAAUUUCUUUUAAGCCCUAGUGGGCUGAACUACGAAAGCUCUGAUUUCCUCAUUGUACGUAGGCAGGAUAACCCGGUUUCUUCGUGAGCUACCCUAUUUAUUAAUCCAUCACUCUUUCAUCAAUCAAUACCAUCUUUUUGAGAUCAAAUAUCAUUCUUCCUUGGAUUCUAGUCACAUCCUUUUAGGACGCUUAAUGAACAGUCCGUCCUGUGAAUCAAGAGUUGUUUGUACUAUGUAACAAACACUUAAUUCCUUUGUUUUUGGUUAUUCCACUACAGUGAUACCAUACCUCGGGCCCCUCACUUGUUGGUUUACCUUUACUCUUCGAUUCAGAGUUUAUUCCUUCAUGGAUCUAAGAUAAUUCUUCUCUUUGAUCUCAAAUUGUUUGUUCCCCAGCAAGUGAUACAUUCUCCCUUGCACCCAACAAUACUUUCUUGUGGGUCUCACUCUCAUCCUUUUAGGAUGCUUAAUGAACAGUCUGCCUUAUGAACCAAGAGUUGUUCGUGCUAUGCAAUUAAACACUUAAUUCAUUCUUUUUUCAUUUAUUCCAACAUGAUGUUAUAGGCCCUCACGUGUUGGUUAAUNGAGAAGAAAAUUAUAGAAUUUUUUACAUAUACUAUACCAUAAUACACUGUGAAUAUGGCGAAUACAAAUAAAAAUGAGCUUGAUUUUGUAAUUUCAAUUGUUACCCAUUUAUAUAUAAUUUGAAUCAUUCAUUUAUAGUUUUUUAACUUUGUUGUUUGUGAGGAAGAAACCUAAAAUUUGGUAAGGGAGAAGAAAAAUAUUAAUCUUUUUUUAAAUAUAAUAUACAUUAAUACAAUGUGAAUAUGACAAAUACAAAUAAUAUUAAGCUUUAUUACGUAAUUUCACUUAUUUACCAUUUAAAUAUAAUAUGAUUCAUUAAUUUAUAAUCCUUUAACUUUGUUACUUAGUGAUGAAGAAACCUAAAAUUUGGUGAUGGAGAAGAAAAUUAUAGAACUUUUUACAUAUAAUUUAGCACAAGACAAUGUGAAUAUCGCGAAUACAAAUAAUAUUGAGAUUGAUUUUGUAAUUUCCAUUGUUACCCAUUUAUAUAUAAUAUGAAUCAUUUAUUUAUAGUUUUUUAACUUUGUAUCUUAGUGAUGAAGAAACUUAAAAUUUGGUGAUGGAGUAGAAAAAUAUUAAUUUUUUUUUUACAAAUAAUAUACCAUAAUACAAUGUGAAUAUGACAAAUACAAAUAAUAUUUAGUUUUAUUAUGUAAUUUCACUUAUUAACCAUUUAUAUUNNNNNNNNNNNNNNNNNNNNNNNNNNNNNNNNNNNNNNNNNNNNNNNNNNNNNNNNNNNNNNNNNNNNNNNNNNNNNNNNNNNNNNNNNNNNNNNNNNNNNNNNNNNNNNNNNNNNNNNNNNNNNNNNNNNNNNNNNNNNNNNNNNNNNNNNNNNNNNNNNNNNNNNNNNNNNNNNNNNNNNNNNNNNNNNNNNNNNNNNNNNNNNNNNNNNNNNNNNNNNNNNNNNNNNNNNNNNNNNNNNNNNNNNNNNNNNNNNNNNNNNNNNNNNNNNNNNNNNNNNNNNNNNNNNNNNNNNNNNNNNNNNNNNNNNNNNNNNNNNNNNNNNNNNNNNNNNNNNNNNNNNNNNNNNNNNNNNNNNNNNNNNNNNNNNNNNNNNNNNNNNNNNNNNNNNNNNNNNNNNNNNNNNNNNNNNNNNNNNNNNNNNNNNNNNNNNNNNNNNNNNNNNNNNNNNNNNNNNNNNNNNNNNNNNNNNNNNNNNNNNNNNNNNNNNNNNNNNNNNNNNNNNNNNNNNNNNNNNNNNNNNNNNNNNNNNNNNNNNNNNNNNNNNNNNNNNNNNNNNNNNNNNNNNNNNNNNNNNNNNNNNNNNNNNNNNNNNNNNNNNNNNNNNNNNNNNNNNNNNNNNNNNNNNNNNNNNNNNNNNNNNNNNNNNNNNNNNNNNNNNNNNNNNNNNNNNNNNNNNNNNNNNNNNNNNNNNNNNNNNNNNNNNNNNNNNNNNNNNNNNNNNNNNNNNNNNNNNNNNNNNNNNNNNNNNNNNNNNNNNNNNNNNNNNNNNNNNNNNNNNNNNNNNNNNNNNNNNNNNNNNNNNNNNNNNNNNNNNNNNNNNNNNNNNNNNNNNNNNNNNNNNNNNNNNNNNNNNNNNNNNNNNNNNNNNNNNNNNNNNNNNNNNNNNNNNNNNNNNNNNNNNNNNNNNNNNNNNNNNNNNNNNNNNNNUUUGUUACUUAGUGAUGAAGAAACCUAAAAUUUGGUGAUGGAGAAAAAAAUUAUAGAAUUUCUAAAAUAUAAUAUACCAUAAUACAAUGUGAAUAUCGCGAAUACAAAAAAUAUUGAGCUUGAUUUUGUAAUUUCAAUUGUUACCCAUUUAUAUAUAAUAUGAAUCAUUCAUUUAUAGUUUUUUAACUUUGUUGCUUAGUGAUAAAGACACCUAAAAUUUAAUGAUGGAGAAGAGAAAAAUUAAUUUUUUAUACAUACAAUAUACCAUAAUACAAUUUGAAUAUGACAAAUAAAAAUAAAAUUUAACUUUAUUACGUAAUUUCACUUAUUAACCAUUUAUAUAUAAUAUGAAUCAUUAACUUAUAGUCCUUUAACGUUGUUACUUUGGUGAUGGAGAAGAAAUUUAUAGAUUUUUUACAUAUAAUAUAACAUAAGAUAAUAUGAAUAUGGCUACUACAAAUAAUAUUGAGCUUGAUUUUUUAAUUUCAAGUGUUACCCGUUUAAAUAUAAUAUGAAUCAUUUAUUUAUUGUUUUUUAACUUUGUUUCUUACUGAUGAAGAAACCGAAAAUUUGGUGAAUGAAGUAGAAAAAAUAAUAAUUUUUAUUACAUAUUAUAUACCAUAAUACAAUGUUAAAAUGACAAACACAAAAAUAUUGAGAUUUAUUACGUAAUUUUACUUAUUAACCAUUUAUAUAUAAUCCAAUUAAUUAAUUUGUAGUCCUUUAACUUUGUUACUUAGUGGUGAAGAAACCUAAAAUUUGGUGAUGGAAAAGAAAAUUGUAGAGUUUUCUACAUAUAAUAUACCAUAAUACAAUGUGAAAAUGGCGAAUACAAAUUAAAUUGAGCUUGAUUUUGUAAAUUCAAUUGUUACCGAUUUAUAUAUACUAUGAAUCAUUCAUUUAUAGUUUUUUAACUUUGUCGUUUGUGACGAAGAAACCUAAAAUUUGGUGAUGCAGAAGAAAAAUAUAUAUUUUUUACAUAUAGUAUCCCAUAAUACAAUGUGAAUAUGACAAAUACAAAUAAUAUUAAGCUUUAUUACGUAAUUUCAGUUAUUUACCAUUUAAAUAUAAUACGAAUGAUUAAUUUGUAGUCCUUUAACUUUGUUACUUAGUGAUAAAGAAACCUAAAAUUUGGUGAUAGAGAAGAAAACUAUAGAAUUUUUUACAUAUAAUAUAGCAUAAGACAAUGUGAAUAUGGCGAAAACAAAUAAUAUUGAUCUUGAUUUUGUAAUUUCAAUUCUUACCCAUUUAUAUAUAAUCUGAGUCAUUCAUUUAUAGUUUUUUAACUUUGUUUCUUAGUGAUGAAGAAACUUAAAAUUUGGUGAUGGAGUAGAAAAAUAUUAAAAAAAGUUUACAUAUAUUAUACCAUAAUAUAAUGUGAAUAUGACAAAUACAAAUAAUAUUGAGCUUUAUUACGUAAUUUCACUUAUUAACUAUUUAUAUAUAAUAUAAUUAAUUAAGUUAUAGUCCUUUAACUUUCUUACUUAGUGAUGAAGAAACCUAAAAUUUGGUUAAGGUGAAGAAACUUAUAGAAUUUUUUAAAUAUAAUAUACCCUAAUACAAUGUGAAUAUCCCGAAUACAAAUAAUAUUGAGCUUGAUUUUGUACUUUCAAUUGUUACCCAUUUAUAUAUAAUAUGGAUCAUUCAUUUAUAUUUUUUAAACUUUGUUGCUUAUUGAUGAAGAAACCUAAAAUUUGGUGAUGAAGAACAAAAAUAUUAAUAUUGUUUUAUAUAUAAUAUACCAUAAUACAAUAUGAAUAUGACAAGUAAAAAUAAAAUUGAACUUUAUUACAUAAUUUCACUUAUUAACAAUUUAAAUAUAAUAUGAAUCAUUAAUAUAUAUUCCUUUAACUUUGUUAGUUAGUGAUGAAGAAACCUAAAAUUUGGUGAUGGAGAAGAAAAUUAUAGAAUUUUUUACAUAUAAUAUACCAUAAUACAAUGUGAAUAUAGCAAAUACAAAUAAAAUUGAUCCUGAUUUUGUAAUUUCAAUUGAUACCCAUUUAUAUAUAAUAUGAAUCAUUACUUUAUAGAUUUUUAACUUUGUUGCUUAGUGAUGAAGAAAUCGAAAAUUUGGUGAUGGAGAAGAAAAAUAUUAAUUUUUUUAAAAUAUAAUGUACCAUAAUACAAUGUGAAUAUGAGAAGUACAAAUAAUAUUAAGCAUUAUUACAUAAUUUCACUUAUUAACCAUUUAUAUAUAAUAUGAAUCAUAAAUUUAUAGUCCUUCAACGUUGUUACUUAAUGAUGAAGAGACUCAAAAUUUGGUGAUGGAGAAGAAAAUUAUAGAACUUUUUACAUAUACUAUACCAUAAGACAAUGUAAAUAUGGCGAAUACAAAUAAUAUUGAGUUUGAUUUUUUAACUUCAAUUGUUACCCAUUUAUAUAUAAUAUGAAUCAUUCAUUUAUAGAUUUUGAACUUUGUUUCUUAGAUAUGAAGAAACCUAAAAUUUGGUGAUGGAGUAGUAAAAAUAUUAAAAUAAUUUUACAUACAAUAUACCAUAAUACAAUGUGGAUAUGACAAAUAGAAAUAUUAUUGAGCUUUAUUAUGUAAUUUCACUUAUUAACCAUUUAUAUAUAAUACAAUUAAUUAAUUUAUAGUCCUUUAACUUUGUUACUUAAUGAUGAAGAAACCUAAAAUUUGAUGAUGGAAAAGAAAAUUAUAGAAUUUUAUAAAUAUAAUAUAUCAUAAUACAAUGUGAAUAUGGAGAAUACAAAUAAUAUUGAGCUUGAUUUUGCAAUUUCAAUUGUUACCCAUUUAUAUAUAAUAUGAAUCAUUCAUUUAUGGAUUUUUAACUUUGUUGCUUAGUGAUGAAGAAACCUAAAAUUUGGUGAUGGAGAAGAGAAAUAUUUUUUUUUUACAUAUAAUAUACCAUAAUCCAACGUGAAUAUAACAAAUACAAAUAAUAUUAAGCUUUAUUAUGUAAUUUCACUUAUUAACCAUUUAUAUAUAAUAUGAAUCAUUAAUUUAUAGUCCUUUUAAUUUGUUACUUAGUGAUGAAGAAACCUAAAAUUUGGUGAUGGAGAAGAAAAUUAUAGAAUUUUUUACAUAUAUAUAUACCGAAUUACAAUGUGAAAUAUGCGAAUACAAAUUAAUAUUGAGCUUGAUUUUGUAAUUUCAAUUAUUACCAUUUAUAUAUCUAUGAAUCAUUUCAUUUAUAGUUUUUUAACUUUGUUUCUAGUGAUGAAGAAACUUAAAAUUUGUGAUAGGUGAAAAAUAUUAAUUUUCUUUUACAUAUAAUAUACCAUAAUACAUUGUGAAUAUGAACUAUACAAAUAAGAUUGGUCUAUUACGUAAUUCUCUUAUUAACCAUGUUAUAUAUAAUAUAAAUUAAUUAAUUUAUGUCCUUUAGUUGUUACUUUGUGAUGAGAAACUAAAAUUUGGUGAUGGAGAAGAAAUUUAGAAUUUUUUAAAUAUAAUAUACCAUAGUACAUGUAAUAUUGGCGAAUACAAAUAUAUUAAGCUUGAUUUUGUAAUUUCAAUUGUUAUAUCCAAUUUAUAUAUAUAUGAAUCAUUCAUUUUUUAGUUUUUUUUAACUUUGUUGCUUAGUGAUUGAAAGGAACCUAAACUUUUGGUGAUGAAGAAAAAUAUUAAUUUUUCUACAUUAAUUAUAUCCAUAGUCAAUAUGGAUAUGAUAAUAAAAAUAAAUUGAACUUAUUAUUAUACAUUCACUUAUUAACAAUUUAAUUAAUAUGAAUCAUUAAUUUAUUUAGUCCUUGUACUUUGUUUGUUAGUGAUGAAGAAACCUAAAUUGGUGAUGAGAGAAAUUAUAGAAUUUUCUACAUAUAAUAUAACCAUAAUACAAUGUGAAUAUUGAGAAUGCGAUAAUAUUGAGCUUGAUUUUUUAAUUAUUCAAUUGUUACCAUUUAUUAUAAUUGAAGCUUAUCUUAUGAUUUUUUAAUUUGUUUGUUAAUGAUGAAGAACCUAAAAUUUGUGAUGGAGAAGAAAAAUAUUAAGUUUCUUUUUUACAUAUAACAUACCAAUAAUACAACGUGAAUAUGACAAAAUACAAAAUAUAUUAAGCUUUUAUUACGUAAUUUCACUUAUUAACCAUUUAUAUAUAAUAUGAAUCAUUAAUUAUAUUCUUUUAACUUUGUUAUUAGUGAUGAAGAAACCUAAAAUUUGGUGAUGGAGAAGAAAAUUAUAGAAUUUUUCCAUAUUAUAUACAUAAUACAAUGUGAAUAUGGUGAAAUACAAAUAAUAUUGAGCUUGAUUUUGAUUUCAAUUGUUACCUUUUAUAUAUAAUAUGAAUCAUUCAUUAUAGUUUUUAACACUUUUGUUUCUUAGUGAUGAAGAAACUUUAAAUUUGGUGGCUAUGUAGAAAAAUAUUAAUUUUUUUUACAUAUAAUAUACCAUAUACAUUGUGAAUAUGAUAUAUACAUAUUAAUAUUUGUAUUUAUUACGAAUUCUUUAUAACUUAUAUAUAUUGAUUAUUUAUUUAUAGUCUUUAGCUGUUUGUUACUUUGUUGAAUUGAGAACCUAAAAUUUGUGAUGGAGAAGAAAAUUAUAUAAUUUUUUUAAUAUUAAUACAUAGCUACAUGUAAUAUGGCGAAUAAUAUUAAUAUUAAGCUUUGAUUUGUAAUUUCAAAUGUUACCAUUAUAUAUUAUGAUAUGAAUCAUUUUUUUAGUCUUUUAACUUUGUAGUGAUGAAGAAACCUAAACUUUGGUUGAUGAAAAAAUGAAAAUAUUAAUUUUUUUACAUAUUAUAUACCCAUAUACAUAUAAUAUGAAAUAAAAAUGAAAUUUGAACUUUUACUUUGCUAGUUAGUGAUGAAGAAACCUAAAUUUGUGAUAGAGAAUAAAAUUAUAGAAUUUUUAACAUAUAUAUACAUAAUACAAUUGAAUAUGGAGAAUACAAAUAAUAUUAAUUUUAUUUAGUAAUUCAUUAUUCACCAUUUAUAUAUAAUAUGAAUCAUCAUCUAUAGUCCUUUACUUUGUUGCUUAGUGAUGAAGAAACCUAAAAUUUGGUGAUGGAGAAGAAAAUUAUAGAAUUUUUUACAUAUAAUAUCCAUAAUCAAUUUGAAUAUAAGAAAAUACCAAAUCAAUUGUGAUUUAUAUAUUAUAUGGAUAUUUUCAUUUAUUGAUUUUUAACUUUGUUGCUUAGUGAUGAAGAAACCUAAAAUUUGGUGAUGGAAGAGAAAAUAUUAAUUUUUUUUUACAUAUAAUAUACCAAUAAUGACAAGUGAUGUGAACAAAUCAAUUAAUGUAGCUUUAUUACGUAAUUUUCACUUAUUAACGCUUUCUAUAUAAUAUGAAUCAUUAAUUUAUAGUCAUUUAACUUGUUACUUGAUGAGAAACCUAAAAUUUGUUGAUGGAGAAGAAAUCAUAGAAUUUUUAAAUAUUAUAUCAUAGUCAAUGUCAAUAUGGCGAAUACAAAUAAUCUGAGCUUUGACUUUGUCAUUUCAGUUGAUACCCUUUAUAUAAUAUUAAUCAUCUUUAUAGUUUUUUUAACUUUGUUGUUUGUGAUUGAGAACCUAAAUUUGGUGAUGGAGAAAGAAUAUAUUAAUUUUCUUUUACAUAUAUAUACCAUAAUAAAUGUGGAAUAUGACAAAUACAAAUAAUUCUAAGCUUUAUUACGUAAUUUCACUUUAUUUACCAUUUAUAUUAUAAUAUGUCAUUAAUUAUAGUCCUUUAACUUUGUUACUUACUGAUUUAGAAACCUAAAAUUUGGUGUUGGGGAAAAAAAUUAAAGAUUUCUUAAGUAUAAUAUGACAGACAAUGUGAAUAUGUGCGAUACAAAAUAAUAUUGAGUUGUUUUGUAUUUCAAUUGUUACCCAUUUUUAUAUAUUGAAUCAUUCAUUUUUAGUUUUUUAACUUUGUUUCUUAGUGAUGAAGAAAUUAAAUUUGGGUGAUGGAGUAGAAAAUAUUUAUUUUUUUUACAAUAUAUAUCCAUAAUACAUUGUGAUAUGAACAUACCAAUAAUAUUGGCCUUAUUACGUAAAUUUCGCUUACUAACAUUUAAUAUAAUAUAAAUUAAUUUAUUUAUAGUCUUUAGAACUUUGUUACUUUGUGAUGAAGAACCUAAAUUUGGUGAUGGAGAAGAAAAUUAUAGAAUCUUUUAAAUAUAGAUAAUACCAUAAUACAUGUAAUAUGGCGAUACAAAUAAUAUUAAGCUUGAUUUUGUAAUUUCAAUUGUUAAUCCAUUUAAUUAUAAUGAUGAAUCAUUAUUUUUUAGUUUUAACUUUUUUGCUUAUGGAGAGAAAAUAAUCACUUUUGGUGAUGAAGAAGAAAAAAAUUAAAAAUUUUUUUUUACAUAUUAAACCAUAAUACAAUAAUGAGGUUUUUUUAUUUAAAAUAACCCACUUUUUCAGAACUUCAAAAUACUCUUGCUUUAAAAAAAUCCAAAGUACCCCCUCUUUAGGAGGAGUCUCCAAUAAUUGGGCGACUCCUCUGGAAACUACGCCAGGGGCGUCAUCCAACUGGCGCCUCGUUCAAUGUUUAGAGGAGUCGCCAAUCUCCAUUUGAAGACUCCUCCAAAAGUGGGGUAACUUGGGAAUUUUUUUGAAAUUGAAGUAUUUUGGGAAUGUUCCCUUUAAAAGUGGAUUAUUUUUUGUAAAAAACCUAAAUAUGGUCCGCAUUUAAUUUUGUUUUCCUUUAAUUUCUUAUGCUUUUUAAAAAAUUUGUUUCCAUUUUCCAUUUUUUAGGUAAUUUAAUUAUAAUACUCGCUUAACAUUCUCUGCUUAUAUCGUGUUCUCUAAGGGUCCUGUUUGAUUUGAUUUUGUUAAUAAAAACUGUUUUUUAGUUUUUAAAAUUUGAAAAUAAGAGAAAAUUUGUUUGGUAGUCUAAUAUUUUAUACAAAAUUGUUUUUUGAAAACUAUUUUCUAUUGAGAGUUUUAAAACUAAAAACUAAAACCAGGUUUUAGCAGUUGGUUUUUUGGUUUUUAGUUUGGGGAAAUUAUGAAGAGAAAACAAGGAAAAGUGGUACAUUUUUUUUUAAAACGAAUUCUUUAAAAGUAGAAUUACAACAUAUAUUUAUUUUAUUUUCUCAAAUUCUUUUAAAAUGAUUUAAAAUAAGUUUCUAAAACAUAUUCUUCAAUUUAGAUUUUAGAACCAAAAACAAUUUUCCAAAACCAAGUUUCUCUAACUUUAUAAUUUUUUAAAACGAUUUUAAAACAAGCUACUACCAAACAGAUUUUUCCAUUAGUUUUUCUAAAAACAUUUGUUAUAAACAUUUUAUAAAAUCAUUUUUAAAAUAGAAAAUCAAACCUCAAUCAAACGAGCCUAAAUCGUUCACCGUCUUAAAUUCUAUAUAUAUUCAUCUCAAAAAUUGUUUUCAUCUUUCAUUAUUUUAUAUUUAACUUAAUAAGUAUUGAUUUCAUUAUGCAGAAUACACGAUUACUAUUCUUAUAGAAGCUUUUUGUUCCCAAAAACCUAGCAUUUCAAAAGUAGUUUCAACAAUUUAUAUGUUUGUCUAUUUAAGUACUUGAGAACACGAUAAAUGACAUCAUUAGUUCUUAAAAUGAAUCUGAUUAGGACUUAAUGUUACAUAUUGAUUUAAUUUGAUGUCUUCAUAUUAAGAAAUAAACUAAAAUUCAUAUAAAUUGCAGUUUGGAAGUGGGUACUUUAUGGCACUAAUUUUGUUUCGCGGGAGUAUUCUAAAAAUGCAGAAGUAUUCGUAGAUGCUUCUGCUUAAGGUAUGGAUAGUUUGUAAUUGAAGAAGGGCAAUUGAUUAACUUGUGCCCUAAGUGCACAGUUAAGAAAGUUAUUUAUAGAAAAGUUAUGUAUGGGAAAAAAAUCAUUAAAAAUUAAAUUAUUUUUCAUAUUAAAAUCAUAUACAAAUUUCCAAGAUAGACAUUAUUCAUUCUUGAUUCUUAACAUGUGUCCGGACCAAAGUAGCUUACCCUUGUUUAAAGUAUUCUCUGAUGCAUUUAAUAUAUUCAGUGUAUAUUCUUAAUCAUUAAUCUAGAGAUACAGACUUUUCAAUUUAAAAUAAGAUGUAAAUAAACACAUUCAUAUAUUCUAUAUUAAUGUUGUCUUUGUACAAUGAAUCAUAUUGGGUUGGACCAUCAAUGGUUUUUUUGGUAUGAAUGUUGGCAUAAGGUUGAUUAAUCAAUAAAUAACCAAAGAUUAUUAUUUUUAUUGAUAAAUAAAAAACAACACUAUAAGCCUUAAAAUCGACUGGAUUAACAUUACAGUGUGAGAGUCUCAAAAUGAAUUGGAGCAACUCACCUUUAAGAACAGGAAGAUUUUCCUUGUGGUUGCCGUGACUUACGCGAUUUUUCAUCGGGACUCUUUUAACUUUCCCGUGAUAUUCUCCUUGACUUGCACAUUUUUUUAUUACUCAUAUCCUUUAUGCCUUUCAUAAGUGAAAUAGUCUCAUAUGUCCUUAAUCUUUAUGGAGUUAUUUUCUGUCCAUUCUUUUUCUUGUCUCCUCAUCUUGAAGAGUUACAUAGGUUUAUUGAUUCAUAAUUAUUAGAAAACCAAUAGUCGUGGGAUAUUCAUAUCUUUCAUUUUCUUCAUACGGUAUAUUCAAGUCCUCGUGGUGAGAAUGGCCUCUGCGUUUGUAUAUAUAAUUUGCAGACUUGUAUGGUGUACACGAUUUCACUUAUUAGUGUCUUCAAAGUGGAUAGCUGUGUUGGUGAGUGAGACUCUGUUGAACUUCUCUAAAUGUUUCUUUCUUCAAUUAUGGAAAUAAACUUAUAUUCCUAUUUUCAUAAUACCAGAAGUUCCAUCUCUCAUCAUUAAAAACCAAUAUCUCGAUUGAUUACAAAUCUUAUUGUUGUUUGGGUGUGUACAAUUUUGUGCUCCUUUGAGCUUGUGUCAUAACCGGCAAAGAUGAUUCUUCUCUCUUAUUCGUUUAAGUUUGGUUAUUUUCUCAUCUGCAAUAUGAACAUGUAGUUACAUCCCGAAAGACCCGCAAGUUGAAAUAUCAGACUUUCUUUCCGCUCUAUGCUUCUUGUGAUUCUUCUCCCAUACACUUCUAUUUGGAAUAGAAUUUGAUAGAUAUAUUACACGCGACACUUCCCUUUUUCCCAAGUUUUCUUUGGAAAGUUUCGUAACUUUUUGGAUGCUUACUAGCCAUUCAAAAAUAUUUCUUCUUUUUCUUUCUGGCACACAUCUUUUUUGUUUGGGGUACUUAGAACUGUUAGGGACGUCUAAUUCCAUUCUCCUAAGAAUCAUGAAAACUCCUUUGAAGUUAAUUCAACCACAUUGGUAUAUGUCUUGCGCAGAGAUUUUCUUCACCACUUUGCUGUUCUUACCACCGAAUAGCUCGUGCGCUUCUUUUUCAAGGUAGUCAAAGUAUAUUAAAUCCGGCUUCCAAAGAAAUAAACACAAGUUUUUAUUGGAAAAAAAUCAAAAAUUCCGAUAAAAAAAUAAGUAUAAAAUAAUGUUUAAUUUCCAUAAGUGAACUUGGCUUGCUUAUUGGGCGCGCCCAACACAAAAAAAUCAAGUAUGUAUAGCUAGAGGUGACUUCUGGGCUAUUGAAGAUGAGCAUCUUUGAAAAAUCGCCUUAAUAUGAUUUCUAGCAUAGACUACGCACCAGCCCGACCUACGCACUGACACGUGAUAUUGGAAUGAUUGACUUGCGUCGGACUAACCGUUUUCUAAUCUAAUUUGUUAAAUACAAUCAACUCGUUGCUACUUAAAAAGAUUUACGCUCUCAAAUCGAAUGUCAAAGCUCAUGAUGAUCUUUGUAGCAUAUUUAAACAUUUGCCACUUCUUUUGGGAUAUUCAACAAACAUAUAUAAUUCCUCGACAUUUUACCUUUUGAAUACAUUAUUCUUUCAUUCUUGAUGGAGAGACUUAAAAAUAAUUCGUGUGAAUUCUCUAAGCUUUUUACCAUAAGUGUCUCCAUCAACUCAAAUAUAUGUACUAACAUCUUAGUUUGAACGUAAGUAAUAUCAUAUAAGACUAUAGAUGUCUUCAUCUUUUUAAACGGACAAAAUAUUAAUAUAUAUACAUUUUUUCUUUCACUACCAUUAACCACUUCAGGAAUCUUGCCAAAAUGAGACAUUAAUAUGACGCUUCAUUAAGUAUCUCAACUAAACUCAUGCGUCCUUUUCCACACAUUGGUUCCGCUAAUGCACAGUGUUCAGGUACCAUGAGCUCUCUUAGGGUUNUUUAUAUAUAAUAUAAUUAAUUAAUUUAUAGUCCUUUAGCUUUGUUACUUUGUGAUGAAGAAACCUAAAAUUUGGUGAUGGAGAAGAAAAUUAUAGAAUUUUUUAAAUAUAAUAUACCAUAGUACAAUGUAAAUAUGGCGAAUACAAAUAAUAUUAAGCUUGAUUUUGUAAUUUCAAUUGUUAUCCAUUUAUAUAUAAUAUGAAUCAUUCAUUUUUUAUUUUUUUAACUUUCUUGCUUAGUGAUGAAGAAACCUAAACUUUGGUGAUGAAGAAGAAAAAUAUUAAUUUUUCUACAUAUUAUAUACCAUAGUAAAAUAUGAAUAUGAUAAAUAAAAAUAAAAUUGAACUUUAUUAUAUAAUUUCACUUAUUAACAAUUUAAAUAUAAUAUGAAUCAUUAAUUUAUAGUCCUUUUACUUUGUUUGUUAGUGAUGAAGAAACCUAAAAUUUGGUGAUUGAGAAGAAAAUUAUAGAAUUUUUUACAUAUAAUAUACCAUAAUACAAUGUGAAUAUGGAGAAUGCAAAUAAUAUUGAGCUUGAUUUUUUAAUUUCAAUUGUUACCCAUUUAUAUAUAAUAUGAAGCAUUCAUUUAUAGAUUUUUAAUUUUGUUGCUUAAUGAUGAAGAAACCUAAAAUUUGGUGAUGGAGAAGAAAAAUAUUAAGUUUUUUUACAUAUAACAUACCAUAAUACAACGUGAAUAUGACAAAUACAAAUAAUAUUAAGCUUUAUUACGUAAUUUCACUUAUUAACCAUUUAUAUAUAAUAUGAAUCAUUAAUUUAUAGUCCUUUAACUUUGUUACUUAGUGAUGAAGAAACCUAAAAUUUGGUGAUGGAGAAGAAAAUUAUAGAAUUUUUUCCAUAUUAUAUACCAUAAUACAAUGUGAAUAUGGUGAAUACAAAUAAUAUUGAGCUUGAUUUUGUAAUUUCAAUUGUUACCCUUUUAUAUAUAAUAUGAAUCAUUCAUUUAUAGUUUUUAACUUUGUUUCUUAGUGAUGAAGAAACUUAAAUUUUGGUGAUAUGUAGAAAAAUAUUAAUUUUCUUUUACAUAUAAUAUACCAUAAUACAUUGUGAAUAUGAUAUAUACAAAUAAUAUUGGUAUUUAUUACGUAAUUUCUCUUAUUAACCAUUUAUAUAUAAUAUGAUUAAUUUAUUUAUAGUCCUUUAGCUUUGUUACUUUGUGAUGAAGAAACCUAAAAUUUGGUGAUGGAGAAGAAAAUUAUAGAAUUUUUUACAUAUAAUAUACCAUNGGUAUUUAUUACGUAAUUUCUCUUAUUAACCAUUUAUAUAUAAUAUGAUUAAUUUAUUUAUAGUCCUUUAGCUUUGUUACUUUGUGAUGAAGAAACCUAAAAUUUGGUGAUGGAGAAGAAAAUUAUAUAAUUUUUUAAAUAUAAUAUACCAUAGUACAAUGUAAAUAUGGCGAAUACAUAUAAUAUUAAGCUUGAUUUUGUAAUUUCAAUUGUUAUCCAUUUAUAUAUAAUAUGAAUCAUUUAUUUUUUAGUCUUUUAACUUUCUUGUUUAGUGAUGAAGAAACCUAAACUUUGGUGAUGAAAAAGAAAAAUAUUAAUUUUUUUACAUAUUAUAUACCAUAAUACAAUAUGAAUAUGAUAAAUAAAAAUGAAAUUGAACUUUUACUUUGCUAGUUAGUGAUGAAGAAACCUAAAAUUUGAUGAUAGAGAAUAAAAUUAUAGAAUUUUUAACAUAUAAUAUACCAUAAUACAAUGUGAAUAUGGAGAAUACAAAUAAUAUUAAGUUUUAUUUAGUAAUUUCACUUAUUCACCAUUUAUAUAUAAUAUGAAUCAUUCAUCUAUAGUCCUUUAACUUUGUUGCUUAGUGAUGAAGAAACCUAAAAUUUGGUGAUGGAGAAGAAAAUUAUAGAAUUUUUUACAUAUAAUAUACCAUAAUACAAUGUGAAUAUAGAAAAUACAAAUAAAAUUGGUGAUUUAUAUAUAAUAUGAAUCUUUCAUUUAUUGAUUUUUAACUUUGUUGCUUAGUGAUGAAGAAACCUAAAAUUUGGUGAUGGAGAAGAAAAAUAUUAAUUUUUUUUUUACAUAUAAUAUACCAUAAUACAACGUGAAUGUGACAAAUACAAUUAAUGUUAAGCUUUAUUACGUAAUUUCACUUAUUAACCAUUUAUAUAUAAUAUGAAUCAUUAAUUUAUAGUCAUUUAACUUUGUUACUUAGUGAUGAAGAAACCUAAAAUUUGGUGAUGGAGAAGAAAAUCAUAGAACUUUUUAAAUAUUAUAUACCAUAGUACAAUGUCAAUAUGGCGAAUACAAAUAAAUCUGAGCUUGAUUUUGUAAUUUCAGUUGAUACCCAUUUAUAUAUAAUAUUAAUCAUUCAUUUAUAGUUUUUUAACUUUGUUGUUUGUGAUGACGAACCCUAAAAUUUGGUGAUGGAGAAGAAUAAUAUUAAUUUUCUUUUACAUAUAAUAUACCAUAAUACAAUGUGAAUAUGACAAAUACAAAUAAUUCUAAGCUUUAUUACGUAAUUUCACUUAUUUACCAUUUAUAUAUAAUAUGAAUCAUUAAUUAAUAGUCCUUUAACUUUGUUACUUACUGAUUUAGAAACCUAAAAUUUGGUGUUGGGGAAAAAAAUUAAAGAAUUUCUUACGUAUAAUAUGGCACAAGACAAUGUGAAUAUGGCGAAUACAAAUAAUAUUGAGUUUGAUUUUGUAAUUUCAAUUGUUACCCAUUUUUAUAUAAUAUGAAUCAUUCAUUUUUAGUUUUUUAACUUUGUUUCUUAGUGAUGAAGAAACUUAAAAUUUGGUGAUGGAGUAGAAAAAUAUUUAUUUUUUUUACAUAUAAUAUACCAUAAUACAUUGUGAAUAUGACAUAUACAAAUAAUAUUGGCCUUUAUUACGUAAUUUCGCUUACUAACCAUUUAUAUAUAAUAUAAUUAAUUUAUUUAUAGUUCUUGAACUUUGUUACUUUGUGAUGAAGAAACCUAAAGUUUGGUGAUGGAGAAGAAAAUUAUAGAAUCUUUUAAAUAUAAUAUACCAUAAUACAAUGUAAAUAUGGCGAAUACAAAUAAUAUUAAGCUUGAUUUUGUAAUUUCAAUUGUUAUCCAUUUAUAUAUAAUAUGAAUCAUUGAUUUUUUAGUUUUUUAACUUUUUUGCUUAGUGAUGAAGAAACAUAAACUUUGGUGAUGAAGAAGAAAAAAAUUAAUUUUUUUUACAUAUUAUAUACCAUAAUACAAUAUGAGGUUUUUUUAUUAAAAUAACCCACUUUUUCAAGGAAAUUCCCAAAAUACCUCUUGUUUCAAAAAAAAAUCCAAAGUACCCCCUUUUAGGAGGAGUCUCCAAUUAAAUUGGCGACUCCUCUUAAAACCUACGCAGGGGCGUCAAUCCAACUGGCGCCUCCGUUCAAGUUUUAAGAGGAGUCGCCAAUUCAAUUGAAGACUCCUCCUAAAAGUGGGGUACUUUGGGAAUUUUUUUGAAAUUGAAAGUAUUUUGGGAAUUUCCUUUAAAAAGUGGAUUAUUUUUGUAAAAAAAACCUAAAUAAUGGUCCGCAUUAAUUUGUUUUCCUUUAAAUUUCUUAUGCAUUCUUUAAAAAUUGUUUCCAUUUUUCCAUGUUUUUAGUAAUUUAAUAAAUACUCGCUUUAACAUUCUCGAUGCUAUAAUCGUGUUCAUUAAGGGUCUGUUUGAUUUGAUUUUGUAAAACUGUUUUUUAGUUUUUAAAAUUUGAAAAUAAGAAAAUUUGUUUGGUAGUCUAAUUUUAUAAAAUUGUUUUUGAAAACUAUUUUCUAUUGAGAGUUUUAAAAACUAGAUUUUUAAAAACAGAGCUACCAAACAGAUUUUAUUCCAUUAGUUUUUUUAAAAACAAUUUUUUAAAACUAAUUUAUAAAAUCAUUUUUAAAAAUAGAAAAUCAAAACUCAAUCAAACGAGCCCUAAAUCGUCACCUCUUAAAUUUCUAAUAUAUCAUCUAAAAAUUGUUUUCAAUCUUUCAUUAUUUCUAUAUUAACUUAAUAAGUAUUGAUUCAUUAUGCAAAUACACGAUUAUAUUUUAAGAAGCUUUUGUUCCCAAAAACCUAGCAUUUCAAAAUAGUUUCAACAAUUUAUUAUGUUUGUCUAUUUAAGUACUUGAGACACGAUAAAUGACAUCAUAGUUCAUAAAAUGAAUCUAGAUUAGGACAAAAUAGUUAAUAUUGAUUUAAAUUUGAUUUUCUUUCAUAUAUUAAAGAAUAUAAACAUAAUAAUUCUAUAAAAUGCAGUUUGGAAACGUGGUACUUUAUGGCACUAAUUUUGUUCGCGGGAUAUCUUAAAAAUGCAGAAGUAUUCGUAGAUGCUUCUCUAUAAGGUAUGGAUAGUUUGAUUAAUUGAAAGGGCAAUGUUAACUUGUGCCCUAAGUGCACAAGUUAAGAAAGUUAUUUAUAGAAAGUUUGUAUUGGAAAAAAUAAUUAAAAAAUUAAAUAUUUUUAUUAAAAUCAAUAUACAAUUUCCAAGAUAACAUUUCUUCAUUUGAUUCUUAACUUGUGUCCGGGACACAAGUUAGCAUCACCCUUGUUUUAAAGUAUUUCUCUUGCAUUUAUAUAUUCAGUGUAUUCUUAAUCAUUAAUUAGAGAUAAGACUUUUCAAAUUUAAAAUAAGAUGUAAAUAAACACAUUCAUAUUCUUAUUAAUUUGCUUUGUAGCAUGAAUAUAUUGGGUUGGACCAUCAUGGUUUCUUUUGGUAUGAAUGUUGGCAUAAGGUUAGAUUCAUCACAUAAAAUAACCUAAAGAUUAUUUUUAUUGAUAAAUAAAAAACAAAAACUAUAAGCCAUUAAAAUCGAAUGGAUUAAACAUUACAGUGUGAGAGUCUCAAAUGAACUUGGAGCAACUCACCUAAGAACAGCAAGAUUUUCCUUGGUGGUUGCCGUGAUUACGUCGAUUUUCAUCGGACUCUUUUAACUUUUCCCGUGAUAUUCUUCCUUGACUUGCACAUUUUUUCACGCUCAUAUCCUUAUGCUCUUUCAUAAGUGAAAUGAGUUCUCAUAUGUCCUUCUUCUUCAUGGAUUUUAUUUUUCUGUCCAUUUCUUUUCUUGAUCUCUCAUCUUGAAGAGUUACAUAGUUUAUUGAUUCAUAAUUUAUAGAAAAACACAAUAGUGUGGGAUUAUUCAUAUCUUCAUUUUCUUCAUAGGUAUAUUCAAGUCAUCGUGGUGAUAAUGCCUCUGCGUUUUUAUAUAUAUCUUGCAGACUUUGUAUAGGUGUCACGAUCCUUUAAUUUAGUGUCUUCAAAAGUGGAUAGUGUUGGUGAGUGAGACUCUUGUUGAACUUCUCUAAAUGUUUCUUCUUCAAAUUAUGGAAAUAAACUAUAUUCCUUUUUCUCAAUACCAAAGUUCCAUUCUCCUUCUUCAUUAAAAACCAUAUCUCGAUUGAUUACAAUCUUAUUGUUGUUUGGGUUGUACAAUUUGUAGCCCUUUGAGCUUUGGUCAUAACCGGCAAAGAUGAAUUUCUCUCUCUUUUCGUUAAGUUUGGUUAUUUUCUCAUCUGCAAUAUGAACAUGUGUUACACUCCCGAAGACCCGCAAGUGUGAAAUAUCAGACUUUCUUCCGCUCUAUGCUUCUUGUGACUUCUUUCCCCAUACACUUCUAUUUGGAGAUCAAUUUGAUAGAUAUAUUACACGCGACACUUCCUUUUCCCAAAGUUUUUUUGGAAGUUUCGUACUUUUGAGCAUGCUUCUAGCCAUGUCAAAAAUUAUUCUCUUUUUUCUUUCUGCAACAUUUUUUUGUUUGGGGUCUUAGAACUGUUAGGGGACGUCUAAUUCCAUUCUCCUAACAGAAUUCUUGAAACUCCUUUGAAGUUAAUUCACCACAUUGGUUUGUUUGCAUAGAUUUUAUCUCUCAACCACUUUCUUUCUCCACAAUAGCUUUGGACUUCUUUCUUCAAGGUAGUAAAUACUUAUAAUUCCGGCUUCAAGAAAUAAACCAAGUUUUUAUUGAAAAAUUACCGAUGAAAAUAAGUAAAUAAUUGUUUUUUCCUAGUGAACUUGGCUUGAUUGGCCCACACACAUCAGUAUGUAUAAGCUUGAUGGCUUCUUGGCUCUUGAGCUUGACUCUUUUGAAAAACUCGGCCUUAAUUGUUUUCUGAGUAAGCACCGUCUGCACUGCUGAUUUGGAUGAUUGAUUGGUGGUAGACCUUUUCUCAUAUUUUGUUUUUACAUCAAACUUAAGCCUCUAAAAUUUAAGCUCUCAAAUCGAAGAUGUCAAAGCUAUGAUGCAUCAUUGUAGCAUAUUUUAAGACAUUUUGCCACUUCAUUUUGGAUAUUCAACAAAAACAUAUUAUUCCUCGACAUUUGUACCUUUAUGAAUACAUUAUUCUUCCAAUCUUUGAUGGAGAGACUUAAAUAUUUCAUGUGAAUAUCAUAACCCUUUUCUAAAAGUUAUCUCAAACUCAAAAUAUUGUUCUUCUUGUUUGAAACGUAGUAAACAUUUCAAAUAAAUUGAUGUCUUCCAUCUUUUAAACGAAUUAAUAUAUUACAUUUUUCUUUCACUAUAACCUUAGAAUCAUUGCCAAAUGAGACAUUCAUAUUGAGUGAUUCAUUAAGUUCUACUAUCAUGCUCCUUUUUUCCACACAUAUGGUUGCUUGCACCAGUGUCAAGGUACCAUGAGCUCUCUUGGGUUCCUUCAUUAUUUCCAUGUGCUAGCAGUAGUGUUUCAAACUUCUCAUUCUUUCCUUCCACAUAGUUAGUCUUCUCCUCGACUUUAUUCUUGAAAGAUCAACAUUCUGAAGUGUAAUGGCCAAACUUCUGAAAAUUGUAGCAUUGAUUUUAAUAUUUAUGAAUCCAUGUGUUUAUGUAUCCUCUUCCAUAUCUUGUUGUUGAGGUUUCUACUUUCUCAUAUAUAUCACUAGUGAAAUUUGAAACUUGUCCAUAGUUUCCACGUCCAAAAUUUCCUCGAUUGUUGCCUCGUCCUUCACCUCUAUCUCGACUUUGUUAGCAUCCUCCAUUUCUUUGAAUUUCCUCAAUUCAAUAUAUAUAUAUAUAUAAAUAUAUAUAUAUAUAUAUAUAUAUAUAUAUAUAUAUAUAUAUAUAUAUAUAUAUAUAUAUAUAUAUAUAUAUAUAUAUAUAUAUAUAUAUAUAUAUAUAUAUAUAUAUUCGUAUUUCGGUUAUGGAGAUGUAUAUCCAUACUAAUCUUUGACAAAACAAGGGAGUGACUUACGAAUGGAUGUGGUGUGGAUGAGAUGCAUCAGGAAACACAUCUUCGAAUUAUAGGAGUAUUUUUUAUUUUCACAAGGGUGUGUGAACAAUUGUAAUAUCCCAAAUUUGCUUAAAUGCUCAAUUAGUUGUCAGUCAAGACCAAUUGAGUUCUUAUGUACUCUAUAUAUUAUCAGUGUAACAAUUGGAGAUCCUAUGUGCUAUAAAUAUUGUCAGUUGAGAUCAAUAGAGUAACCAAUGAACUCUGAAGAGAUUAAUUAUUAAUAAAAGAGACAUACCAAUAUUAAUAAAUACAAGAAAGGACAUUUUUGAUAACAUUCAUAAUUGGUCGAUUGGUGCUGGAAGAUAAAAUAUCAAUUGAGAUAUUUUUAUUACAAACUUGAUAUUAUAUAUAUAUUAUAUAUAUAUAUAUAUAUAUAUAUAUAUAUAUAUAUAUAUAAAUAUAUAUAUAUAUAUAUAUAUAUAUUAAUUAUGUAUUUUGUGUGGUGGGGAUUGAAAGAAGAAGAAAAUGAUAAGAAGAAGUAUGAGAGAGUGAGAGAUAUCAGAAAGGAAGAAGAAAAGAAAGAGAAGAAAGAAGAAGAGAGAAAGAGGAAAGAAGAGCUUAGAGGAAAAGAAGAAAAAACCAUGGAGAAUCAUCAUCUUCACCACCAUCUUCAUGUCAUCUUCACUCUGAAUCGUAUGAUAAUAUAUGUUUUAGAAUGGUUAGGAUUUAUGAGAAUUUGUGAUGAACUUGUUGAAUUAUGGAGGUUAACCACAUGAUUCAUGAUAAUAUAUGUUUUAGAAUGGUUGGGUAUGAUUAAUUAUGAAAGGAAGAAUGUUUAUAAGAGGUGUUUUUUUGUGAGUAUGGAGUUCCAACCAAUCGAUUGAUUUAGUGAAAUUUUUGAGAUAAAUUCACAUUCAAUCUAUUGAUUCAUUUGAUCAAUCUAUUGACAUGAAUUAAUUAUUUGAUGAAUUAAAAUAUGUCACCAAUGGAGGUCAAAACCAUGACCUCCUUGGUAUGGUACAAGCCUUACCACUAGGCCAAGGAUGUUGUUGUUGAAUACUUAUGCAAUGAAUAAAUGUUAAUCUAAAUCUUGAUUAAGAUAGAUUAAUGAAUUAAUUGAGGGCUAUUACUCCGUUUUGGACACAGACGGGUGCGUUAGAAAGAUAACGUAAAGGACUAUUAUUAUUGUUCCAUGUUAUAAAAUAUUAUGUGAUUUAUAAAUGCUAUGAAUUAUAUUAUGAUGAAAGUUAAAUAUUAUUGUUAUGUUGAAGGUGAAAUAACAUGAUUAAAAACCUUACAAAGAUGAGUGAGGAAACCUAGGAGAAUAACUUGAUUAAUAACUUAGAAAGACAAUCUAGGUUAUGGAAAUGAGUAUACGGUGAUGCUUGGAUGCAACGGUACCUAGGUGUGUAUCGUGGACAAGUAUUCACUUGGUAAGUGAAUCAAUAUGCUUUGUAUGGAACAUGUGUGAUUUAUGUAUGAGAAUGGAUCAUGUUAUGAUGCCAUGAGAAUUAAUAUGAUGUCAUGAGAAUCGUUUGAUAUUUUUGGUGAGGAACAUUUGUUCCAAAGGUCCUAUUUUGGUGAGGAGCAUUGCUCCGAAGUCCCUAUUGGUUAUUGAGAAUUAAUCAUGUAUUCGGAAUUAUUUGUAAUCGUGCACAUACCACUUAAAAAGGCUUCGGUAAAGCGGUAAGUGGGGAUGUGGCACCAAUAAUUCGCGCCUCAAUUGGGUUUGAGUCCCAACCAUGACAGACAUCGAGGAAAGGUGGUCACCUAAGUGGGUUAGAGUCCCAUAUGGUGAAAGAUACUCAAUGUGGGUUCGAGUCUCAUACGAGUGAUGGUUCUUAACAGUGGGUUUGAGUCCCAUUUGGUGAAAGAUACUCAACGUGGGUUUGAGUCUCAUAUGAGUGAUGGUUCUUAAAAGUGGGUUUGAGUCCCAUACAAGGGAUGGUUCUUAAAAGUGGGUUUGAGUCCCAUAGGGGAACCUGAUAUCCACCGUGAAAGUCGAAUCAUACGAACAUGCGGGAACCAAGCCUUGGCCUAGACGUAGGUCCGGUUGGGGAUCGAUGUUGUGUGAAUCCGAAUAAUGAUUUAUUGAGUUAUGUGAACUCAAGUGACAUGUUUCCAUACAUUAUGUUUAUCCCCCUAUUAGCAAGUCCUAGUUACAAGGUGCGAGUGAUGCACAAGUAACGGAAGGUGAAUACUUGAGUUAGAAUCGAGUAGGAACCCUGUAGAGCCGAGUGGACCCAUAGGAUAGGAGAACUCACUGAGAUUAUUAUCUCAUCCCAUUAUUGUUGUUAUUUUUCAGGUAAUCCUUGCAGGUUGAAUCUAAGAGAACCUGUUUAUGGAUGUUUCAAGGGAUGUUGUUUAUCAUGAUCUUCCGUUGUGGAGUUGUGUGCAAUGAAGAUAUUGCACAUAGUUCUUAGAUUUUUUAUUGUUUAGGCACUAUUGUAUAACAUGUUCCAUUGAUGUUUUUAGUUUGGACAUGUAUAAUAUAUAUAUAUAUAUAUAUAUAUAUAUAUAUAUAUAUAUAUAUAUAUAUAUAUAUAUAUAUAUAUAUAUAUAUAUAUAUAUAUAUAUAUAUAUAUAUAUAUAUAUAUAUAUAUAUAUAUAUAUAUAUAUAUAUUGAUGCCAUUAGGCACUUAUGUUGGAUCAGUACCAAUUAUUAACACUUGUAUGAUAUUAUUCUAGAUAAAUAUUAUACGGGUUGUUACAACAAUACUAAGGGUGCGAAAAGUAUACCUUAAUCUUUUCCACUGAGAAUAUGGAAACUGCAUGACAACUAUCAAGUAUGAUCCCUUUGAUCGCACUGCAGCAGAUGAUAUAUGAUACAUGUCGUAUGACAAUCACCGUCAUACACAUCCCUUAGAUGAUGCAGCCUUAUAUUCUUGAUAGUUAGUUUGUGGGACACACCUGAUGUAUCCUGAUUGAGUCAUGCGCCAAUUCGGAUAUUUACAAGAUGUUUCAAGAGACCCCUUCGUGUUUGCUCAUCCUGAUAUGGUCCAUAGAGAUGUUGAUGCGAUGUAAAAUAAUUUUUAUAAUCAUCUAGUACCAAAGGAAGAAGCACAGAGUGUGUCAGCUCCUCGGCAAUUGAGUAAUGCAUUUAAUUACAUCAAAUGAUAUUUUAGAGUGUCACAUCCUUAUAUGACACCAGAUACUCAUGGAGAUCUACUUAGAUCGACUCGUCAAGAGAUAUUAGAGGAGGAGAAGACUAUGGAAGAUCAUGUCGGUGAUGUUUUACCUGCAUGUUAUCGUAUAAAGGUCAUUAUGUGAGCGGGUAUAGAAAAAUAAAAAAUUUUGAAAAACACUUCUAAGAGAGCCAUUGUCUAUGUCAUUCUAUCUGAGCCACAUACGGCAUUACAAUACAAGAGAUAUAGAAGAAACAGGGUGGUCAGAUAUACCUAAUAGUAUUUUAUAGUAUUUGUAUUUUGGAUAGUAUUAUGAUUUAUAAUUGUCAUUUAAAAUAUUAUGGAUUCCUGGUUUAUUCAAAUAUAUAUAUAUAUAUAUAUAUAUAUAUCCUUUUAAUCUUAUUAAAUUAAUAUAUGAUUUAAUUGAUAAUAAAUUUAUUACAAUAAUUAUAAAUUAUCCAUAAUGUAGAAAAUCAUUAAAAAUAAUUAUUAAAUUUUACUGCCUAAAAAUAAUUAGGAAAGUAUAUUCUCGUUUUUUUUGUUAAAUAUAUCUCCAAACUAAUUUAAAACAAAAGAAUGUGGUAUAUAUAAGAUAUUUAGGAAGUGUACAUUUCCGAAUUAUUGAAGGAUAAUUUUAAAUUUUACAAGGUGAUUCUUCGCAAACCUCAACUUUAAAACAUGUCAUAGUGCCUUGGACUAGUUUAAUUUAGUAGUGUACUCUUAUGACACCCCUUUUGAUUCUUAUUUGUGUUAUAUUCUAGAAAACUGAUUUUUGUCAAAAAGUUUAUUUCCAAUAACAAUUCCGAGAAAAGCAAAACAGGUUUUCAUUCAGUUACGAAAAUUUACUGCUCAUAUAGCUCGUCAAUUUAUCUUUGUUAGAAUUAGUAAAAAAAAUGGUUCAGAAAAUACGGUAUGAAUCUAAUUAUUUACUUUCUUGUUUAAAUAAAAUGAUUCUACAAAAUGCAGUGAAUCUUGAAAAGGGUAAAACUAAGAAGAAUUAAAAGCAUCCUCCCUCCCACAAAUAUUUGUAAAGAAAAGUGAAACUAAUUAGGACUAUAGUACACCUGCCACCCAAGAAUGGCCUUUGACAUUAAUAAUAAUACAAAUAACUUCUCAAAAUUAAAGAAUCACUGAAUCCCCCCCGCUGGACCUUGGUCAGUCCCAUGCAGUAUACGGUUCAACUUAAUCCGGGCCGUCAAUCAUGUGGAGAUUGACAAGCAAACCUGCAAGGCUGGUAGGCUACGUAUACCCUAUGCAUUCACAAAAACAACCACUGCUGUCCAAGCAUAGGUGAAACUGUGUACAACAUUUCUUCUUUCAAGCGCCCCUGUAUUUCUAUGUACAAAUUGCUCAUCAAGCAUUGUUAGCAACUUCUGCAGCUCUCUGCCUCAUCAUCUCCAUUACAGCAGCUCUUCGCCGUGAAUCAGACUGCUGCUGCAACCUCCUUAGAUGUUCUUUU
rnacentral:lncRNA from 1 species